rnacentral:pre_miRNA from 1 species
GGGGGGAGUGCAGGAUCCUGGCUGUGUUCCCCGCGCCCUGGGCUCUGCUGCCCGCACUGCUGGGAUCGCGCUCCAGGCCGCACAGCCCCCU